GAUGAACGCUGGCGGCGUGCCUAAUACAUGCAAGUCGAACGCACAGCGAAAGGUGCUUGCACCUUUCAAGUGAGUGGCGAACGGGUGAGUAACACGUGGAUAACCUACCUCAAGGUUGGGGAUAACAUUUGGAAACAGAUGCUAAUACCGAAUAAAACUUAGUAUCGCAUGAUACCAGGUUAAAAGGCGCUACGGCGUCACCUAGAGAUGGAUCCGCGGUGCAUUAGUUAGUUGGUGGGUAAAGGCUUACCAAGACAAUGAUGCAUAGCCGAGUUGAGAGACUGAUCGGCCACAUUGGGACUGAGACAGGCCCAAACUCCUACGGGAGGCUGCAGUAGGGAAUCUUCCACAAUGGGCGAAAGCCUGAUGGAGCAACG
rnacentral:rRNA from 1 species